rnacentral:rRNA from 1 species
AGCGGCGCACGGGUGAGUAAUGUCUAGGAAUCUGCCUGGUAGUGGGGGAUAACGUCCGGCAACGGGCGCUAAUACCGCAUACUAUCAGAUGAGCCUAGGUCGGAUUAGCUAGUUGGUGGGGUAACGGCCUACCAAGGCGACGAUCCGUAACUGGUCUGUGAGGAUGAUCAGUCACACUGGAACUGAGACACGGUCCAGACUCCUACGGGAGGCAGCAGUGGGGAAUAUUGGACAAUGGGCGAAAGCCUGAUCCAGCCAUGCCGCGUGUGUGAAGAAGGUCUUCGGAUUGUAAAGCACUUUAAGUAGGGAGGCGUUACCUACAGAAUAAGCACCGGCUAACUUCGUGCCAGCAGCCGCGGUAAUUC